AUUGAACGCUGGCGGCAUGCUUUACACAUGCAAGUCGAACGGUAACAGGUCUUCGGAUGCUGACGAGUGGCGAACGGGUGAGUAAUGUAUCGGAACGUGCCCAGUAGUGGGGGAUAACUACUCGAAAGAGUGGCUAAUACCGCAUGAGAACUGAGGUUGAAAGCGGGGGACCUUCGGGCCUCGCGCUACUGGAGCGGCCGAUAUCAGAUUAGGUAGUUGGUGGGGUAAAGGCCUACCAAGCCGACGAUCUGUAGCUGGUCUGAGAGGACGACCAGCCACACUGGGACUGAGACACGGCCCAGACUCCUACGGGAGGCAGCAGUGGGGAAUUUUGGACAAUGGACGCAAGUCUGAUCCAGCAAUGCCGCGUGCAGGACGAAGG
rnacentral:rRNA from 1 species